UACAGAGGUCCCAAGCGUUGUUCGGAUUCACUGGGCGUAAAGGGUGCGUAGGUGGUGAGGUAAGUCGGAUGUGAAAUCUCCAGGCUCAACCUGGAAAUGGCAUCGGAAACUACCUCGCUGGAGGUUUGGAGGGGGGACUGGAAUUCUCGGUGUAGCAGUGAAAUGCGUAGAGAUGCGGAGGAACACCGAUGGCGAAGGCAGCCCCCUGGGCUAACACUGACGCUCAGGCACGAAAGCGUGGGGAGCAAACAGG
rnacentral:rRNA from 1 species